AACGCACAUUGCGCCCGCCAGUACUCUGGCGGGCAUGCCUGUUCGAGCGUCGUCUCAACCCUCGAGCCCCCGGGCUCGGUGUUGGGGACCGGCCGCCCCCCGCGGUGGCCGCCCCCGAAAUCCAGUGGCGGUCCCGCCGCAGCCUCCUCUGCGCAGUAGUUGAUACCCUCGCACCGGAGCGCGGCGCGGCCCUGCCGUGAAACCCCCAACCCUUCUCAGGUUGACCUCGAAUCAGGUAGGAAUACCCGCUGAACUUAA
rnacentral:misc_RNA from 1 species